AUGGGGGUGCCGGGAGCACAUCAGGGUGGGCGCACCGAUGAUGCUGCUCCCCUGUGGACUCUGCGUGGGCUGUGGGCUCUGUGGCCAUGUGGCCACGAGGGGUCACUCGGAGGGGCCACCAUCCCGUCCCUCUCUGCCCAGUGGUGCCGUGCCUGGCUUCGGGGUGCCUGUGCCAGCACUGCCGCCCCACACAGCUCCCUAUUGUCUGUCCCUAUUAGCUGCUGUCUGCUUCAGGCUUUGAACAUGAGCCGGGCUCGGGGUGGCAGGAAGGAGCCUCUUCUCCCCAGGGAUGGGGUCGAAGCGAAACCGCACGCCCUAACCCCUUCCCACAGCCUCCAUCCUCCUCCAGGCACCUUGGCACCCCGUGCCGUGAGUAACGGGGGCUGGACCCAACCAGAGCUGGGGAGCCACAGGGACACCCCCCUCUCCAAAAAGAGCCCCCCUCACCUCACUCACUGUGGCCUCCCCAAAGCUCUGUGCACAACGAAGCCAUGCCCCGUGACUAAUUCCCCCCGGCCUCGCACAUACAGGCGGGGAGGGGGGUGCUGUCGUAAUGGGUGGAAAUAUCUCAUAAUUCACGUUGGACAUGGGGAUUGCAGCCGUUCCGGCAAUAUUUGCACAACUGGCAGGCGGCUCGCAGGGCUGGGCCGCCCAGACGAAGGCAAGGGGGUCUGGGGCGGAGGGUGUUUGGGGUGGCAGGUAUGGGGUGAGGGGGUGCAGCUGGGGGAGCGGCUGCUUUUCGUCUCCAGACACAUGGAGUUUAUUAAGGACUGCGUGUUCUCAGCGCGGUGGGGAUGGAUGGGGCUCUCUGUCCCUUCUUGCCUUGUGGCGGAGGGGGGGCAGGAUGUGGGCAGAGACCCCAAAGCAUCCUCAUGUGCUAUGCUCGGGGCACUGUGCCCACUCCCAGCGACCCAUCACGGGGCGCCCAAAGACCACAGAGAUCCCCUUCAUUCCUAUGGGACGAAGGCAGGGGGCGCGUGGGGCACGGGGGGGCCCUGUUUGGCAUGGGGAUUAGCACGCUCCCAGAGCGAUCGAUGGUGGUCUCCCCCACCCCCCCCCACCGGACAUGCAGGCAAAUAUUUGUGCCCAGACUUCGCGGGACGGCGAGAAGGAAUUUCAUUCUUGCGCCCACCUGCGGCUCGACCGCCUGGCAUUAACCCCUUCACCACCCCAGGGUAUGGAGGGAGGUGCCCUCCUGGUGCCCCCCAUGCGAGCAGCGGAGUUGGCCAGGAGUGCAAUAGAGCAGCAUUUGGUGCAGAUGGUUGGCCACAGCUCUGGGCAUGCCCGUGGCAGUGCUGA
rnacentral:lncRNA from 1 species